rnacentral:misc_RNA from 1 species
AAGGAAGAGUUUGUUUGGGAUUGUUGUUGCAACUGCUCUUGUAAAAGCACCCCUUUCUAUAUACCUUGUUCAGGAACUUCUAGAACACUCAUGGCCAAAGCAUCCCAAAAAGUUUUGAUGCUUUGGGCAAAGCACCCAAGAGGAUGCUUUUGAAGAAAGCAGUUUUAAAUUCAAUGCAAAAUGGGCACCUAGUUUGUUGUCAAGGAUACCAACAAGAUACACUACAGCUCAGUGACACCCGGUUCCCCACAUAAUCAACUACAGCUCUGUGACACCGGGUUCUCCACAUAAUAAAAGAAUAAUGAGAUAGCCAUAUAUUGAAGCCAUAUAUUGAUAUGGAAAUGGCAUAUCCAUUUAACGUAUUUAUAACUAUUUGUAUAAUUGCUCCAGGAAACCAUACAGUUGAGGAAAAGUCAGUUCAACAAGAAGCAUUUUAUCAUUGAGAUUGACAACUGUUGAAAAGAAAAGAAACAACAUA